rnacentral:rRNA from 1 species
CGUGUAGGCGGCUUCACAGGUCCGCUGUGAAAACUCGAGGCUCAACCUCGAGCUGUCGGUGGAAACCGUGUGGCUAGAGUCCGGAAGAGGAGAGUGGAAUUCCCGGUGUAGCGGUGAAAUGCGCAGAUAUCGGGAAGAACACCCGUGGCGAAGGCGGCUCUCUGGGACGGUACUGACGCUGAGACGCGAAAGCGUGGGGAGCGAACA